rnacentral:rRNA from 1 species
AGUUGCGAACGGGUGAGUAACGCGUAGGUAACCUGCCUGGUAGCGGGGGAUAACUAUUGGAAACGACAGCUAAUACCGCAUAACAUUGACUAUUGCAUGAUGUUGAUUUGAAAGGGGCAAAUGCUCCACUACCAGAUGGACCUGCGUUGUAUUAGCUAGUUGGUGAGGUAACGGCUCACCAAGGCGACGAUACAUAGCCGACCUGAGAGGGUGAUCGGCCACACUGGGACUGAGACACGGCCCAGACUCC